UGUUUGCUGUGAUGAAUCGCAAGGACGGUAUCUGAGUGAGGCGGCUCUUGAAAAAUGGCCCCCUUCCUUGAUUACACACCCUGGACUGAUCAUAAACUCUGAGCAAACA
rfam:Triticum aestivum genome assembly, contig: Triticum_aestivum_CS42_TGACv1_scaffold_513372_6BS